UACAGCAUGGUAUAGUGGUUUGAAUAUUGGACUGUGACUCUGGAGACUAGGGUUCGAUUCCCCACUCAGUCA